rnacentral:rRNA from 1 species
CACGUAGGGGGCGAGCGUUGUCCGGAAUCAUUGGGCGUAAAGAGCUCGUAGGCGGCUCGGUAAGUCGGGUGUGAAACCCCCAGGCUCAACCUGGGGACGCCACCCGAUACUGCUGUGGCUAGGGUCCAGUAGGGGAGUGUGGAAUUCCCGGUGUAGCGGUGAAAUGCGCAGAUAUCGGGAGGAACACCAGCGGCGAAGGCGGCACUCUGGGCUGGAACUGACGCUGAGGAGCGAAAGCGUGGGGAGCGAACAGG